rnacentral:tRNA from 1 species
CAGGCGGUUGGUCAGACGGACCGGCCGGGUGUCGCCCUGCGGCGCGGCGGCGGCGCCCAGCGGUUCUAAGCCGCCCUGUCUGGC